CACACCCCAUUUCCCUUCCUUUCCAUUCCCUUGCUCUCCCUUCCCACUACACCCACCAUUUCCCUUCCCACCCAUUCCCUUCCUCCCUCUUUCCACUACACCCUGCAUUUCCCUUCCCUUCCAUUCCCUUCCAUUCCCUUCCAUUCCCUUGCUCUCCCUUCCCUCUACUACCCGCAUUUCCUUUCCCUUCCAUUCCCAUAUUCUCCCUUCCCACUACACUCCCCUUUUACCUUCACUCCCAUUCCCUUCCUCUCCCUUGCUCUCUCUCUCCACUACACCCGCCAUUUCCCUUGCCUUCCAUUCCCUUCCACUCCCUUCCAUUCACUUGGUCUCCCUUCCCACUACAACCCGCAUUUCCUUUCCCUUCCAUUCCCUUAUUCCCUUCCCAGUACACUCCCCUUUUCCCUUCCCUUCCAUUCCCUUACCUUACCUUCAGUUCCCUUGCUCUCCCACCCCACUGCACCACCCUUUUUCCUUCCCUCCCAUUCCUUUCUAUUUUCUUGCUCUCCCAUCCCACUUCAACCCCAUUUCCCUACCCUUCCAUUCCCUUCUAUUCCCUUGCUCUCCCUUCCCACUGCAGCAACAUUUCCCUUCCAUUCCAUUCCCUUGCUCUCCCUUCCCACUACAGCCCCCAUUUACCUUCCCUACCAUUCCCUUGGUCUCCGUUGCAUCCUCCUCGCACUCCACCCCCCAUUUUUCUUCCCUUCCAUUCCCUUUAUCUCCCUUCCCACUACACCUCCCAUUUCCCUUCCCUUCCAUUCCCUUGCUCUCCCUUCCCACUAUACCCCAGAUUUCCCUUCCCUUCCCUUCACUUCCGUUCCCUUGCUCUCCCUUUCCACUACUACCACCAUUUCCCCUCCCUUCCAUUCCCUUCCAUAACCGUGCUCUCUCUUCCCAGUACACCUCCCUUUUCCCUUCCCUUCCAUUCCCGGGCAUUCCCUUCCAUUCACCUUCUACCCCUUCCCACUGCACCCCCCUUUUCCCUUCCCUUCCAUUCCCUUCCUCUCUUCCCACUACACUCCCCUUUUCCAUUCCAUUCCAUUCCCUUUACUUACCUUCAAUUGCCUCGCUCUCCCUCCCCAGUACACCCCUUAUUUCCCUUCCCUUCCAUUCCCUUCAAAUUCCUUGCUCUCUCAUCCCACUACACCCCCAAUUUCCCUUCCCGUCCAUUCCCUUCCAUUCCCUUCCAUUCACUUGCUCUCCGUUCCCACUUCUCCCCGCAUUUCCCUUCCCUUCCAUUCCCUUAUUCUCCCUUCACACUACACUCCCCUUUUACCUUCCCUUCCAUUCUCUUCCUUUACCUUGUAUUCCCUUGCUCUCCCUCCCCAAUACACCCCCCUUUUCCUUUGCCUCCCAUUCCCUUCCAUUCCCUUUCUCUCCCUUCGCUCUAUACACCCCAUUUCCCUUCCCUUCUAUUCCCUAUCUCUCCCUUCCCACAACAAAACCCCCCGUUUGACUUCCCUUCCAUUCCCUUCCCUUCCAUUCCAUUCCCUUCCAUUCCAUUUCUCUACCUUCCCACAGCAACCCCAUUUCCCUUCCCUUCCAUUCCCUUCCACUCCCUACCCACUACUCCCCCCAUUUCCCUUACCUUCCAUUCCCUUCAAUUCCCUUGCUCUCCCUUCCCACUACAACCCCCGUUUCCCUUCCCUUCUAUUCCCUUCCAUUCUCUUGCUCUCCCUUCCCACUACACCCCCAUUUCCCUUCCCUUCCAUUUCCUGGCAUUCCCUUUCAUUCACUUGCUCUCCCUUCCCCCUACAACCCAUUUCCCUUCCCUUUAUUCCCUUGCUCUCCCUUCCCACUAUACUCCCCUUUUCCAUUCCCUUCCAUUCCCUUCCAUUCCCUUGCUCUCCCUUCCCAAUGCAACCUCAUUUCCCUUCCCUUCCAUUCCCUUCCGCUUCCUACCCACUAGUCACCCCAUUUCCCUUCCCUUCCAUUCCCUUCCGCUUCCUACCCACUAGUCACCCCAUUUCCCUUCCCUUCCAUUCCCUUGCUCUCCCUCCCAAAUACACCCCCCAUUUCCCUUCCCUUCCAUUCCCUAUCUCUCUCUUGCCGCUACACCUGCCAUUUCCCUUCCCUUACA
ensembl:lncRNA